GCCGUCCGAUAGCCUCAGCCGACGUGCCGCCAGGCCGUUGUCACAGGCACCCGAGCUGUCCGGCGCGGACCGCA
rnacentral:tRNA from 1 species